GGUCGCUUAGCUCAGGGGGAGAGCACCUGCUUGACGUGCAGGGGGUCAGGGGUUCAAAUCCCUUAGCGACCACCA
rnacentral:tRNA from 1 species